UACGGAGGGUGCAAGCGUUAUCCGGAUUUACUGGGUUUAAAGGGUGCGUAGGUGGGUAGGUAAGUCAGCGGUGAAAUCCCCGAGCUUAACUUGGGAACUGCCAUUGAUACUAUCUGUCUUGAAUACCUUGGAGGUGAGCGGAAUAUGUCAUGUAGCGGUGAAAUGCUUAGAUAUGACAUAGAACACCAAUUGCGAAGGCAGCUCACUACACGGUCAUUGACACUGAGGCACGAAAGCGUGGGGAUCAAACAGG
rnacentral:rRNA from 1 species